GAAGUGCGAUAAGCAAUGCGAAUUGCAGAAUUCCGCGAAUCAUCAGAUCUUUGAACGCAAAUGGCGCCAGAGGGAUAUCCUUCCGGCAUGUCUGUUUCAGUGUCUGAGAGGUUUCACAAAAGCUUAAUGUGAUUGAUGACUGGGUUAAGCUCUCAUAGCAUGAUCCAACCUCAUCUCUCAUGAAAGAUGCUCGAGUGGAUCUUUCGGUCCAAUGAAGUGGUCACAUCACUCGCAUGUGAUUUCAUUGGGAUCACCGGAUUAUCCGCAUGCUCGAGGUACACUCUCUCUUUUUUGGGUAACACCAAGAAAGACACUCCAUACCCUGCAUCUGAGACAGGCAAGAUCACCCGCUGAACUUAA
rnacentral:misc_RNA from 1 species